rnacentral:snRNA from 1 species
UGCGGGACGUUGAACCCA